GCUCACUCACCCCUUGGCAGUUAGCACCUCUCAUCCAGGUGUAUCUGAGGCUGCUGGGUUUUACAUUUCCGGCCCCCGCAGCCAGUAACCCUGCAGCCAUAGUCUGGUCUGAAAAAUGUGUCAGAGUUUCAGGCAGUCUGAAACCCGGACACAUGAUUCCAAACCCGAACUGUCCGGGUGAAUCCUGGACAGGUGGCAACCCUAGUACCAUUCCAUCUUCAAUUAAAAAUCCCAUUUUUCUUUACAGCUUUGAUGAGUUGCUGGAAUUACUCAGCAGCAGAUUGCAGAGGAUGGACACCUACUUCCGCAAUAGCAUACCCCCUGUGGAGCGACUUAUCAUCACACUGAGGUAUCUAUCAACUGGACAAUCCAUAGCAAGUCUACAUUACGCCUUCCGUAUAGGAAAGUCUACUGCCAGCUACAUAAUCCGUGACACCAGCUGUGCAAUUUGGGAAGUGCUAAAGGAAAUUGUUUUCAAAAACCAACAGCAGAGGAAUGAUCACAGAUUUCGGAAGUAUUCUGGCAACGCUGCAACUUCCCAAAUUGUCUAGGAGCGAUUGAUGGGAAACACAUUAGGAUUGUGAAGCCCAUGGCUAGUGGAAGACAGUAUUUCAACUAUAAAAAAUACUUUUCCUUUGUGUUGAUGGCUGUGGCUGAUGCCAAUUAUUAUUUCCGAUACAUCGACAUUGGGUCAUAUGGAAGCAGCGCGGACUCCGCUAUUUUUGGGAACUCUUCUUUUGGCCAAAUGCUACGUUCGGAUAAUCUGGACCUUCCGGAAAGUAGUCCACUCCCGGGCACAAAUGGCACUCCCCUACCCAGUGUUUUUGUGGGUGAUGAGGCCUUUGCUCUGAGCACACAUCUCCUACGGCCUUAUUCGGGCCAUAAUCUGACCGAGGAGAAAAGCGCCUAACCAGAGCACAUCGGGUAGUUGAAUGUGCUUUCGGUAUAUUGGCAAAUAAGUGGCGGGUUCUACACACUCCGAUUGUACUCAACAUGCAGAAUGCCAUCAGUGCUGUGAAAGCUGCGUGUGCCUUGCACAACUUUGUAAGGCAGUGUGAUGGUUUUGAUUAUGAGGAGCCAGUCAAUGAGAAUCUGGAAAGAGCUCAUUGGACUGGUGUACGUGGGAACACACAGGGUACACAUGUCCGUGAUCAGUAUGCGGCAUACUUCAUGUCUCCUGCAGGACAGGUCCCAUGGCAGCUGGAUUCGAUUUAAUCUUUUUUCUUUUUUUUAACCACUGUACUGUAUGCUAUGCUUUUUUGGUGAACUAUACCUUUUCCUAUGCUGUUUAGAGAAAAUAAAACAAUAAGAUUGA